rnacentral:lncRNA from 1 species
CACACUCCGCCCCGUGGCACUGUACACUUGCAGUUCCCUUCAUAUGCACGUCACACUCUCUGCCCUCUAGGACUUUGCACGCGUUGUUAUUCUUCCAGGGAUAACGGAAAGUUCCUUUCCUUUCCCCCUCCUCUGGGAAGACCUUCUCACCUCCUAGGACUGGAACAAGUGUUUCUAUUCCGUAUUUCCCUAGUGCCCUAUACUCACCCCUUUAUAGCACCUACCACACUGCACUGCAAUGAUCUACUCAUACUUCUAAAUCCAUCAAGACUUAGUAAACUUUAAGAGGGCCAAUCUUAUUCACCACUGGACUCACUGUGUCUGAUACACAUAUAAUAGGUGCUCAGUAAACAUCUGUUGAAUGACUAAGUAAAUAAGGAAUGGAAGAACAGCUGACUGAAACAGGGAGAGAGAAAAGGGGGGAGGUGCUGUCUCAUCUAGUCAUUUAAUAACAGCUUUACUGAGAUAUAAUUCACCCCGUGAAGUAUACAAUUCAGUGGCUUUUACUGAUCUUAUUUAUUGUUGAAUCAGCCAAUUUUAAAGAUGAACUUAGUUAAAGGGGAAGAUACUGAACUGAACAUUUAGAAAAGCUCAGUUUAUUUUGACUUUAUUAAAAGUGUUUCUAUUAUUUGAAGAACACAAUAUAUUAUUUAAAGACAUUAUUUAAAGCCAGUAACUUAACAUUUAAAUUAGAAAGAUAUAAACAUGUCAAAGGAAUGAAACAUAGGUCUUUUAUUAUGUGUGAAUCAUGAAUCCACGUUCCUCUUUCAAUUCAAAUGCUUACCGGAAGUUAUCUAUAACGUAUAUUGCACUUCUUGCAUACAUCAAUCCCUCUACCAACAUGCCUCGUGUUUGUGUGAGUGUUUCAGUGUGUGUCUGUGUGUAUCUGUGUGGGGUGUAGUGGCUUCUUGUAUAUGGGGGGUGAGGGGUCGCAGGGCUGGGGUGUCCAAUGCCAUAACCAUUGCUUUCUUGUUCAGGAAGUGUAUCUGAAUCCUUGCUUCAUUUUGCUCAACAGAAAUGAGGAGCUUGGUUUAUAUUUUCUGUCUUCUCUUUUCGAAUGCAGCUGGUCAUGCCACAGAUAGUAAAAAAUAAAACUGUGGAUAAUAAGAGAAGUAUUUAGAAUGGCGCAUACAAUUGAAAAUCAGAUCAACAAAUACUAGGGCAGGCCCUGUAGUGUGGAAGACACAGAGGAAGCUCAGGCAUGGUUUCUCCUGGCACUAAACUUUUAACCAGGUUGGGGGA